rnacentral:tRNA from 1 species
GACUUGGUAGCCAGCUAGUUGGUAAAGGCAGCACUUCUAGUAAAGCUCAGGUUGCUGGUUCAAAUCCUGCCCAAGUCA